CCCGCUGAAUUUAAGCAUAUCAAUAAGCGGAGGAAAAGAAACUAACAAGGAUUCCCCUAGUAACGGCGAGUGAAGCGGGAAGAGCCCAGCACCGAAUCCCCCAGCGUCUCGUUGGAGGGAAAUGUGGUGUAGAGGAAGCCGAUUGCUGUCGUGUUCAGGCGCCCAAGUCCUCCUGAUCGUGGCCAUACCCACAGCGGGUGUCAGGCCCGUUCUGGCGCCAGACGCGGUCGCUUCGAGCUUCCCUGGAGUCGGGUUGUUUGGGAAUGCAGCCCAAAGUGGGUGGUAAACUCCAUCUAAGGCUAAAUACAGACACGAGUCCGAUAGCGGACAAGUACCGCGAGGGAAAGUUGAAAAGAACUUUGAAGAGAGAGUUCAA
rnacentral:rRNA from 1 species